rnacentral:rRNA from 1 species
GAUGAACGCUGGCGGCGUGCCUAAUACAUGCAAGUCGAGCGAACGGACGAGAAGCUUGCUUCUCUGAUGUUAGCGGCGGACGGGUGAGUAACACGUGGAUAACCUACCUAUAAGACUGGGAUAACUUCGGGAAACCGGAGCUAAUACCGGAUGAUAUUUUGAACCGCAUGGUUCAAAAGUGAAAGACGGUCUUGCUGUCACUUAUAGAUGGAUCCGCGCUGCAUUAGCUAGUUGGUAAGGUAACGGCUUACCAAGGCAACGAUGCAUAGCCGACCUGAGAGGGUGAUCGGCCACACUGGAACUGAGACACGGUCCAGACUCCUACGGGAGGCAGCAGUAGGGAAUCUUCCGCAAUGGGCGAAAGCCUGACGGAGCAACGCCGCGUGAGUGAUGAAGGUCUUCGGAUCGUAAAGCUCUGUUGUUAGGAAAGAACAUAUGUGUAAGUAACUGUGCACAUCUUGACGGUACCUAAUCAGAAAGCCACGGCUAACUACGUG